UACGGAGGGUGCAAGCGUUAUCCGGAUUCACUGGGUUUAAAGGGUGCGUAGGUGGGCAGGAAAGUCAGUGGUGAAAUCUCCGGGCUUAACCCGGAAACUGCCGUUGAUACUAUUUGUCUUGAAUAUUGUGGAGGUAAGCGGAAUAUGUCAUGUAGCGGUGAAAUGCUUAGAUAUGACAUAGAACACCAAUUGCGAAGGCAGCUUACUACACAAUGAUUGACGCUGAGGCACGAAAGCGUGGGGAGCAAACAGG
rnacentral:rRNA from 1 species